UAAAAAAGAUACUUUAUGAAUCCCCAAGAGAAAUUCACAUGUCUGGUGGCUCUGCAAAAAAGUCCAAAUAAACGCUUAAAAAUACACCUAUGAAGGGCAAUAACAUACUGUAGCUGUCUUGGUUUUAGGUUUUAGCUUGAAAAAUGACAAAUCUGGUCUUUUGGACCGUCUAUUAGAGCAAUUAAUGGCUGAGCAGUGUCCCGAGGACAUGCUGACGAUGCAAUGUUUCUGCAUUCUGCUCACCAUCAUGGCGGCCAUGGCAGCUUGAUGAAUUUCACAUUAUUAUGCCAAUGUAGGGAAAAAAACCAUCCAGAUGUUGGCAGAUACGGUAUAUCGCCAAUAUCAGCCAGGUGGCUGAUAUAAUCGGACAAUCCUACUUCAAGCAGAUAGAAUAUCGGACAAUCCUACCUAAUACAGGAAAGUAUUUUAUCCUUUCAACCUUCCAUCCACACGGGAACGGCUUACUGGGCGACCGCCCAGUCACAAUCACGUGACCAGAAGUGAGUGUUCCUACAGUAUGUGGACAGGGUCUAAGUCAGCCCUCACCUGGCAGGAGUCCACCUUGCCCUGCAGGAACCCUGCACACAUCAUGUUGGCUGUGAUCGCUCCCCUGUACACAGGUAACUUAUUGCACACCUUGGAGUCGAUGAUUUUAACCACAGCUUUUUGCAGCGUGGGAGGCACGUCGCCUAAAAUGGAGAUGAUUGGAUUCAUUUAGGAUUAACACAGUAUCUCACACUUGUACCUCACAUUUCAGCAUCUUCUCAAGAGAAAACACCAGAGAAAUGAAACUUGGAUGUACUCUGAGCAGUCAGUGUGCAGUGCAGUAAUCCCUUGCCACUCAGCGCUUCAUAAAUCAUGCUGUUUUGUGGUUGAAUGCAGCCUAUUAUGAGUCAAAACAUAUGCAUUUUUAAGCACAUUUUAUGUAUCUUUGGCUUGAAUUAAGCAUAAAAACGGCAAAAUGAAGUAAAAUACAAUUUAAGAACGUGCGAUGAUAUGUAAUAUUCCACACUGGUCACUAGGUGUCAGCAAUGUUACACUGAUGACAGGAAGUACUGUACACAACAGGAAGCAAAAAAGAACACGAAGGAACUCUCCCAAUGCUAACAUGUGAGUAUUUAUGUCUUAUUUUCUCUUAUUAUGUCUACUGUAUUGGGGAAUAGGAGUGUAAAGGUGACCAUGGGGGUGUUAUUUCAUGUCAAGAGGGCUCUAAUAAUGUUAAAAAUCAUAUUUAGAAGGUCGUGAACAGGUUUUCUAUGCUCUAAAUAGGGAAAUAUUCUACUUCUAUUAAAUACGGACUCCUACUUGGCGGAAAUUGGCUUACCACGGUCGGGUCUGGAACCAAUGAGCUUCCUUCAUAGAUUUACUAUGCACUGAAAAUGGGUCAACACAGCCAUUAUUGUCUUAAUACGUAGCUGGCAACACAAGUGAGUAGCAAGAUAAUUGUGUCAUGGUCUGGGCCUGCACGAGUGCUGCCAGCACAAGGCUGCUGCGGUUCAUGGAGAAAACCGUGGAUUCCAACAUGUACGGCGACAUUCUGAAGCACAGCAUGAUCCCCUCCCUUUGGAAAAUGGGGUUUCCAACAUGAUAAAGACCCCAAAAACAUCUCCCCCACAAAAUAUUGACACCGAGUACUCGAACAGUAGAUCACAUCCAAGUUUCAUUUUCUUCGUGUUUCGGGGGUACACCCCUGCCGCAGGACUCACUGCUGAACAUGUGCAGAGAGCCCCAUCCUGACACCACGCAUCUCUGUCCAGGACUGAAGACGUGAGACGGGGAGGGCAGACAGGCAGGUUGGACAUAUGGACUGAAGGUGAGGGGGGUCUCCAGCUCCAGCACAGCCACGUCAAUGUCAGUGGUCAUGGGGUUGUAGUCUGGAGACACUCUCAGUGUCUUGAUGUUGAUUAUUUUGGUCUGGGACUCCUCGCCGCUCACCAGACUGGCACCCACCAGGGCCGUCCACUCUUUGGGGUUUUUGUCCCUGACGAAUGUACGGAAUGUCUCAUACACUUCAGAGUUGAUGCAUCUCAUGGACACAAGUACUGAGACACACAUCUUAAUUGAUUAGUCAAUCGAUUAGGUCAAUUAGCCUGGGCUGGUGAAAGGUGCAAAUGUCCACUUGAAACUGCAACCACAUUUUUGGGACCUUCAACACGGGUUCCGAACAUGACAACCCCAAAACCUACUCAGUAGCGCCCCAGGGAAUCCACGUAAACACAUAUGGCAUUUGGUGGACAUGUGCAUCAUGAUAGGGCGCACUAAAGAGGAUCAAGAACCCAUGCCUGGAAUCCAACAGGAAGGCGGCCAUUUUGGUUUAAAGUGGCCCUUUUAGGUGAAGUCCAGGGUUCAUAUACUUUGACGACCUCCUCCUAGGGAAUUUGCCCGCGUGAGCCCGAAUUGGAGUGGAGGAUUGCUGACAGAUGGGUGAUGACAAACUGUGAAGGGUUUCAGCGUGUGCCAUAGGAUGUGGGCGGAGCAUGGCGGCAGACUACACAACUGGAACCAGGAAUUUAGCUCUACAAGGUCUGAUGUUAAAUGUUGGAAUUCCGCUCAAGAUACUCAGAUUACUUUCAUACUGGAGAUACUCCCGUCCAGGCCUGCGUCCAGUUUGCCCUCCGACUUUUGUGAAAAACUUGAGUUGCGUGGGUGUGCGGGGGGCCGUUUAACACUACCAAGGCAUUCUAUGCUUCCAUGUCCAAAAAGGCAAACUUGAAUAAACCAGCUCUUCCAUGUUUACUUCCUGUUGUCUACUAGCCUGGUGUCCCAGUAUCUUUGUCCAUGCUGCCUUUUAAGUUCCUGUACACAUUUGUUCCUACCUACCUCUCAAAGCAGUGUGCUGCACUGACCAGCCACCUUUCGCUGAUGAUGGAGGCUCCACACGUGUGUUGACCGUGUAGCCUCAGACUGACCUGCCAUGGCAGCUCCCCUUGUCGAGCGUCUUCGCCGCCCACGAUGCGAUUCCCGGCGGCGCUACGCAGACCACACGCUACAGGGGAAGAACUAGAAUAGAUGAGCGGUGCUCGCCACCUUUACGCGUCACUAACAUGAAUAAGAAGAAGGAAAGCAGGUUUACCACAGCGAGCUUCGUCGGAUCCGUCAGCACAGUCUGGUACGAAGUCACACUCUGGGUUGACUUUAGUCACACACUCACCGUUGUCACAGCUGAAGGCGCUGUCGGGACAACUGGCUAGAGGUGCGUAUAAGGGUGGAAUAAAUGAAUAACAAUCAAUUAAAAUACAAGAAUAGGAUUAUGAGAAAUGAUAUGUCCCAUAAGUUUGAUCAAAUAUUAAUGAAGUCAUUUUGGACAAUUGGAUGCUUCCAACUUUUAUGUAAUGGAAGACGAACGUGAGAGCCCAGACCUCAACCUCCAUCAAAUUGAAUGAAUAAAAUUCCAUUGAAUACAAUAAAAUGGAAAUGUAUUUAUGUGGAUUAAAAUAGAAGGCUAAAAUCUAAAAAAUAAAUAGAUAUAAAAUAAAAUAAAAUAAAAUAAGUGAAUUAAAUGAAGUAAAAUCGUAGUCAAGUAAUUAAUGUAAUGUCAUGUAAUUAAGACAAAAACCUAAAAAUAAAUAGAAAUUAAAUAAAAUAACAUAGAAUUAAAUGGAAUAAAAUAAAAUAAAAGUGAAAUGAAAUGAAACAUAAUUAAUGGGGUUAUUGACACCAAAGACGUACGUUUUCUUAAACCCGAACGCUCGUUCCCACCGACGUAUUUAUACAUCUUUUACGUUUAGGCAAUCAAAGUGAUGAUGCAAGUGCAUCAUAGAAGAGGUCACGUUUCAUGCAGUUUUAAGCCAUCAAAACGGCCACAAGGUGGCAUUCGAUAAGAGCUCGGCAUGGAUCUUUCCCAUGUAUUAACACACUCGACAGCAAGGAGGAAGUGAGAGAGCGUGGAGGAGUGUAACGUGCAGAAGGUUACGCAUUGCAGGGAAAUUCUAAUGGAUGCACACGCACAGGCGAGCGCGCACGCACACUUGCACACACACACACACACACAGUUUAGUUUCAAAUGUAAAAAUUGUAAAUAGUUCAUGGUGCUAUAUUUGUAAAUAAAUUGUUCUUUUUAAUGUAAAACAACCCUUUUUUUGUGUUGUUUAUGUUGUGGUGCGGCUGUCACAAAAGCAAAAAAUAUUUGUGUCAAAGUGAAAGUUAUGCUUGAAAUGUAUCUUUUCACAAAAAGCUGGUUUUCUCCCUUUUUUAGUCAGGAACCAAUAUUUUCCUGAAACUUACCUAUGUUCUACUGCUGAUUACUAAAGAACGAAAAAAGGUAGAAACAAACUUUUUUUUCUGAUGAAAGACAAGAGUGUAAUGUUUCUUUUGGUAGGUUCCAUGUUUAUAUAACCAUACAACACAAUAUUCUGUGUGCCUUGGAAGAUCAGUCAAAAUCGUCUUUUGAAAAAUGGCUGGGAUUGAAUGAGUUAAUAAAUAAGAAAUUAUAAUAAAAUGAUAUAUAAUAAAAAAAUAUAUCAUAUGAAAUACUAAUGAAUUUUGGAUAAUUGUAUGCUUCCAACUUUUAUAUAUUGGAUGACAAACUAGAGAGCCCAGACCUCAACCCAAUCAAACACCUUUGGGACGAACUAGAACUGUGAUGCGUGCCACAGACGCAGAAAAAACAACUUUAUUUAAUAUUUAGUUUUAAAAAAAUGUUUACUAGAUAUUUUUAAUAUGAUUUUUUUGUCUAGUAUCCGGUUCCACGCUGUUCCAUGAUGUUACUUUUAGCACUAAAAGCUUCCAUGCCGUAUGAGCUACUGUAAAUUCCGGUGUAGAAGCUGCUACUUUUUUCUUAAACUUUGAACCCUGCGGCUCAUACGGCAGCGCGGCUAAUUUAUGGCUAAACUAAUCUCGUGACAUCUCCUUUACUUCAGCACUACUACUAAUUGUUUAAAUACGGGGCCGCUGGCGAGUCAGUGAGGGAACGGUAGCGCCUGCUUUGGCAGGAGCCAAUCCCGAGCCAUCAGCGCACUCACAACAAGCUUAAGGAGGUGAUUAUAUAUAACAGUGUAACAUACAGUCUGACUCACGGUGUCAUCUUCAAAGAACACUUUACUAACAGCACCUGACAAAUAUACAAACAUGCCCCAAUAUGUGCCAAUAUGUCCCAAUAAAAUGACAAAACUCCAGCAUUUUUACGUUUUCCUAUAAGCGCACCGUCGUAGCAGAAAGAAGGAAGGAGACACGGCGUCAAGUUGUUCAUUGCUCUGUGUGAGUUAUAUGAAUAAGCAAGUUUGAUGAUUACGUUGUGUAUUGAGUGUUUAAUCUUGAAGGUUUCGUUUAUAUUGGUGUUCCAAAUCCCUGCACUGUGAAAACCUGUCAAUGUGCGUGCAUGUCAGGGUGAGAGAGUGGAGAUUCCCCUGAAAAUGAGGCUUUAUCGCUGCUUGGAUGUAAUUUAGUACUUUGGACGCUGCUUUAUCAUGUUUGUUCUACUUUCCCUUUCCAUUUGGUAUCAAAUGAAUGUGCAGAUGUACAAAAGUGAAGCUCAAGUUCAGCCCAUUCAGAGGGAAGGAACCGAACAUCCGUCUGAAAUAAAAGAUGAGUAGGACGGAUACUUAGAUACUUCAUUCAUCUCCAUAGAAAUUCACAUCUUAUCUAUUGAUCAGUGCUCAUGUAAAACUUUUAUCAAAAUAUGACCAUGGACAAUACACAUUUUUGAACCAGAAUUACUUACUAUAAAAUCAAUGAACCAAUUAAUCAUGUGUAAUAUUUCAAUUUAAUGAAAUGUAAAAAUAUUUUUUGUUUUUCAAGUGUGCAGCAGUAAGGGGUACAUGGCUUCAAGUCAGAAGUCUGAAGGGGUAUACGACUGUAAGAACGCAUUCAUUGGGGCGCUGCAAUGACGUCAGCCUCUCUCUGGGCUUUGGGCUCCAGGUCCUUUGGCUCCCUCCAGUGGACAAAGGCGGCAUUGCAGCGCUAUCCACCAUUUUCUAUGCUUUGUAUGCUCCUGAGAUUAAAUGAUUUUCUCAAACAAAAUGCAUUAUGGGAAAUUACAUUUUUUAAAUGUAAUUUUAAACUCGUAUUGGUACAUGUUUCUAUAUUUCUGAGGUAUAACGCUUGAAUGUUAAGUUGCUGUGCAAUGAGUUUAAUGUUUUUAAGGUGAAACCGUGAGUCAGGCUGUUAUAUUGAAUAACGACCUCCUGCAAUGUCCGAUGGGUUGACAAGCUCGUCGUGAGUUUGUUCAUAGCUCAUGAUUGGCUCCUGUCAAAUAAAGAGCCGACCGGUCCUCACGGACUUGUACGUGCCACAAUAUGCCAUUUUAUGACGCGGACACAUGCGGCUUACACACUGGUGCGGGGUAUAUAUGUGCAAAUCUGUUUUUUCCUCUACUUUUAGUGGGUGUGGCUUAUGCACCGGAAUUUACGGUAGAUAUUUUUAAUAGGAUUUUUUUUUUCUCGUAGCCGGUUCCACAAAUUUGCAUCAUGUUAAUUUUAGCACAAAACUAAACGCUUCCUGGCUGUAUGAGGUUUUAUAAAUGACAGCCAUUUAUGAUAUAUAGUCAACAAGAUAAAUGCAACACUUUUGUUUUGCUCCCAUUUUUCACUAGUUGAAGUGAAUGAUCUAAACCAGUGGUCCCCAACCCCCGGGCCCGUGGGUCAUUUGGUACCGGGCUGCACAGAAAGAAAAAAUAAUUUCCAUUAUUUCAUUUUUUUAAUGUUUUAUUUUGAAAAGUGGCCGGAUUCUCUCUGUUACAUCCGUCUCACUUGACGCAUGUCCAUUGUGUGUGUGCUAACUUGCUGCACAGAUAGACUACUACUGUAUUUUUACCAUUUUUCUUUCACCUCAUAUGUGGUGUCAAAUGCUGAUACUAUGUGGGAAUGCAUAAAGGUACGUUUGGAUGGCUUACUGAGUGCUAAUGUGCACAUUUGUCUCAAGUGAAUUCAUGCUAGCACACUGCCUUUUACCACACACGUCAAACAGCCAUGUCACAUGCCAUGUCACAUGCACUCACCCGUCAUAUCUUCUCCAAUAGCAUAAAAGGACUUCCCACUGGCCCCUGCAGAAUAAAGGCAAGGAUGAAAUGUGUGCAACAGACAGACAACGCACGUGUGACCUCUGUGAGAAAACCAACAGAUGAGCCUUGUUUCCUACCCAGUAAGACGAUAGCGCCGAUCCGUCCGAACUCCGGCACCUCCAGAGGGUUCCCGUGCAUCACGGAGAUGUCAGCACUAUGGAGAAAGCCGAGUUCUGGUCCUGCAGAGACGCAUUAUACUUGAGACCCUUCAGCUGCACCGUCUCCAUGAAAUAAUGCUGCUCCUGCACCAGGAAUCUCACCAAUAAGCAGUCCCACAAAGACGCCAGCUAUGAGGAAGAAGAGGAGGAAGACUACGAGGGUGCACCUGUGGCAGGUGGAGCUGGAGGGAGCAGCAGCAGAGGGUCCUGGAGAAGACCACGGGCCUCCCCCAUCCUUCCUCACAUCCAUUGUGGACUUUGACAGC